GGCGACGCCGAGCGGACCCGAAAACCGGUACUCAGUUCGGAUCGGAGUCUGCAACCCGACUCCGUGAAGCUGGAUUCGCUAGUAAUCGCGCAUCAGCCAUGGCGCGGUGAAUACGUUCCCGGGCCUUGUACACACCGCCCGUCAAGCCAUGGGAGCCGGGGGUGCUUGAAGUGCGUCGCCGCGAGGCGCGCCCUAGAGCAAAACCGGUGACUGGGGCUAAGUCGUAACAAGGUAGC
rnacentral:rRNA from 1 species